rnacentral:rRNA from 1 species
GAUGAACGCUGGCGGCGUGCCUAAUACAUGCAAGUCGAGCGAACAGACGAGGAGCUUGCUCCUCUGACGUUAGCGGCGGACGGGUGAGUAACACGUGGAUAACCUACCUAUAAGACUGGGAUAACUUCGGGAAACCGGAGCUAAUACCGGAUAAUAUAUUGAACCGCAUGGUUCAAUAGUGAAAGACGGUUUUGCUGUCACUUAUAGAUGGAUCCGCGCCGCAUUAGCUAGUUGGUAAGGUAACGGCUUACCAAGGCAACGAUGCGUAGCCGACCUGAGAGGGUGAUCGGACACACUGGAAGUGAGACACGGUCCAGACUCCUACGGGAGGCAGCAGUAGGGAAUCUUACGCAAUGGGCGAAAGCCUGACGGAGCAACGCCGCGUGAGUGAUGAAGGUCUUCGGAUCGUAAAACUCUGUUAUUAGGGAAGAACAAAUGUGUAAGUAACUAUGCACGUAUUGACGGUACCUAAUCAGAAAGCCCCGGCUAACUACGUG